UAGGGAAUCUUCCGCAAUGGGCGAAAGCCUGACGGAGCAACGCCGCGUGAGUGAUGAAGGUCUUCGGAUCGUAAAACUCUGUUAUUAGGGAAGAACAACUGUGUAAGUACCUAUGCACGUUUUGCCGUUACCUAAUCAGAAAGCCACGCCUAACUACGUGCCAGCAGCCGCGGUAAUACGUAGGUGGCAAGCGUUAUCCGGAAUUAUUGGGCGUAAAGCGCGCGUAGGCGGUUUUUUAAGUCUGAUGUGAAAGCCCACGGCUCAACCGUGGAGGGUCAUUGGAAACUGGAAAACUUGAGUGCAGAAGAGGAAAGUGGAAUUCCAUGUGUAGCGGUGAAAUGCGCAGAGAUAGGGAGGAACACCAGUGGCGAAGGCGACUUUCUGGUCUGUAACUGACGCUGAUGUGCGAAAGCGUGGGGAUCAAACAGG
rnacentral:rRNA from 1 species